rnacentral:lncRNA from 1 species
UAUGACACAUAUUUCUAAUUACAUUUUAUUGCAGAAGAAAUGUAGUAAUAGGCUUUGAUGCCUGUUUACAUUUCUCUUGUAGUCUGCAUGUCUCCAGAGUCCCUAAAGAGAAGAAAAAGAGAGAAGCACACAAGUUACUAGAACUGCACAAGGUUCUCUUGGUUAAUAAAUGAAGACAGGAAAGAAAAAGAAAAGACAAAGAAACGGAAACACUGCCCACCACAGUCAUUAUUCUGGAGGAGUUGCAGGAUAUUCAACUUGUUUGGAAAUGGAGGGUCCAGGGGCAUGGGUCAAGGGCAGAGGCAUCUCAGCUUUCAUCCUGGGACUUCAGGACACAUUCUGGGUCAUGAUGAAGGAUUCAUCAAACCACUGUUUUGUGGUGGUAGGGGGAAUGCUUCCAAUGUGAAAGAGUGGAGCACACCAUUUAAAAGAAGGGUAGCGAUGGAGGGAAAAGAAAUUUCUGAAAUGAUCACAGAAAUAACAUGCAUUCAAGAAACAACAAAGGAGAAAAACAAUGAAAGUGGGAGUGCAUAUUUUACUGCAGCCCGAGGAUUUCAGUAGCUGAUGCAUUCACAGAAAGUCUCUUACAGUCUUACUGUCUUUUACUACAAUGCAAAUUUAUUCUGCCUGAGUAAUAACUACCACAAUACUGUCAUUCCCCAAUUACGUUGAUAUAGUCAGUCACACACUGCUGAAAUAAAGAGUCAGAAGCAGGAAAUAUGAUGUUUUUU